rnacentral:rRNA from 1 species
UCGCUCCUACUGAUUGAGUGAUCCGGUAAAUAAUUUGGAUUACAAUGGUGUUCCUUUCUUGAGCACCGUUGUGCGAAGUUUGGUGAACCUUAUCACUUAGAGGAAGGAG